CCCUACGGGGUGCAGCAGGCGAGAAAACUUUGCAAUGUGCGAAAGCACGACAAGGUUAAUCCGAGUGUUUUCUGCUAAAGAAAUCUUUUGUCAGUCCUAAAAACACUGAUGAAUAAGGGGUGGGCAAGUUCUGGUGUCAGCCGCCGCGGUAAAACCAGCACCUCAAGUGGUCAGGAGGAUUAUUGGGCCUAAAGCAUCCGUAGCCUGCUUUGUAAGUUUUCGGUUAAAUCCAUGUGCUCAACAUAUGGGCUGCCGGGAAUACUGCACAGCUAGGGAGUGGGAGAGGUAGACGGUACUCGGUAGGAAGGGGUAAAAUCCUUUGAUCUAUUGAUGACCACCUGUGGCGAAGGCGGUCUACCAGAACACGUCCGACGGUGAGGGAUGAAAGCUGGGGGAGCAAACCGGAUUAGAUACCCGGGUAGUCCCAGCUGUAAACUAUGCAAACUCAGUGAUGCGUUGGCUUGUAGCCAGUGCAGUGCCGCAGGGAAGCCGUUAAGUUUGCCGCCUGGGAAGUACGUACGCAAGUAUGAAACUUAAAGGAAUUGGCGGGGGAGCACCACAAGGGGUGAAGCCUGCGGUUCAAUUGGAGUCAACGCCAGAAAUCUUACCCGGAGAGACAGCAGAAUGAAGGUCAAGCUGAAGACUUUACCAGACAAGCUGAGAAGAAGUGCAUGGCC
rnacentral:rRNA from 1 species